AACGUAGGUGGCAAGCGUUAUCCGGAUUUACUGGGCGUAAAGCGUGUGCAGGCGGGGGAACAAGUGGUGUAUGAAAUGGCUCGGCUCAACCGGGCGAGGUUAUGCCAGACUGUUCUUCUAGAGUGCGAGAGUGGGGCAUGGAAUUCCGGGUGUAGUGGUGAAAUGCGUAGAGAUCCGGAGGAACCCCAGAGGCGAAGGCGGUGCCCUGGCUCGCAACUGACGCUCAGACACGACAGCAUGGGGAGCGAACGGG
rnacentral:rRNA from 1 species